GGCCCCAUGGUCAAGUGGUUAAGACACCGCCCUUUCACGGCGGUAACAGGAGUUCGAACCUCCUUGGGGUCACCA
rnacentral:tRNA from 1 species